GAGCCUAUUGCACAGUACGCGCUUUGACGUGAGUGAAAUGGAUGUGUGGAGGACUCUGCCUCCGUGCAUGCGUUUGGCUUUGCUCUUUUUCUUCAUGCAUUUUGAAAGUGUGUCAACUUUCGAGCUUACAUUGCUACACACCAACGAUGCUCACGCUCGGAUUGAGGAGAAUAGUAGAGAGUCGGGUAAAUGUAGUCCAGGUAGUCCUUGUUUCGGUGGAGUGGCCAGGAGGUUCACAAAAAUAGCAGACAUCCGGAGCAAAGAACGGAAUGUGUUAUUGCUGGAUGCUGGCGAUCAGUUUCAGGGUACUGUCUGGUUCAACUACUACAAAGGGGAGGAAGCUGCGUAUUUCAUGAACAAGCUUGGAUAUGAUGCGAUGGCAUUUGGAAACCAUGAGUUUGACAAUGGAGUGGAGGGCCUGCUCCGCCCUUUUCUGCAGAAGGUGAACUUCACUGUUCUCAGUGCCAACAUCAAGGCAGAUGCAACACUCGCCCCAACUAUCAAUGGUUACUAUCAACCCUACACAACAUUCACGAUGGACUCUGAAAUAGUGGCUGUGGUAGGUUACACCUCAGCGGAAACUCCAGUCUUAUCCUUACCAGGUCCACACCUGAUCUUUGAGGAUGAGAUCAAAGCCUUGCAGGUCCAGGUGGAUAAACUGAUCACUCUUGGUUACAAUAAGAUCAUCGCCCUUGGUCACUCUGGAUUUGACGUGGAUAUAGACAUCGCCAAGCGAGUGAAAGGUGUGGACCUGGUCAUUGGAGGACACACCAACACUUUCCUCUACACAGGGAGUGUCCCAUCUUCAGAGGUGCCGACGGGUCCCUACCCCUUCACGGUGAGGUCUGAGGACGGGAGAGAUGUCCCUGUGGUACAGGCUUUUGCCUUUGGGAAGUACCUGGGAUACCUCAAGUUGGUCUUCGAUAAAGCUGGGAAUGUGGUGAAGGCGAAUGGAAACCCCAUCCUGCUGGACAGCAGCAUAGCCCAGGAUCCAGGUAUCCUUGCUGAUGUUGACGAGUGGAAGAAGAACUUGGCCCAGUACUCGUCUCAGUACGUGGGGAAAACCCUGGUGUAUCUCAAUGGAACCUUUAAUGAGUGCCGGUUCCGAGAGUGCAACCUGGGGAACCUCAUCUGUGACGCAAUGAUUCAUCACAAUAUCAAGUAUGCAGAUGAGAUCCAGUGGAAUCACGUCAGUUUAUGCAUCCUGAACAGUGGAGGCAUAAGGACAGGAAUAGAUGAAAGUCACAAAAAUGGCACCAUCACCAUGGAGGAAGUUAUAGCAGUCUUACCAUUUGGUGGCACUUUUGAUCUGGUGCAGUUGAAGGGAUCAACCUUGAAAAAGGCAUUUGAAAACUCUGUCCGAAGAUACGGAAGCAGCAGAGGGGAAUUUCUUCAAGUUUCAGGAAUCCAUGUUGAAUAUGACCUGUCACGGUCGGUGGGGGACCGUGUGACGUCCUUGAGCCUCCGCUGCUCUCGGUGCCGUGUGCCCAGAUACGAAUCCCUGGAUCCAGACAGGCUGUACAAGCUGGUCCUACCAUCCUACAUCGCAGACGGAGGAGAUGGUUUUACCAUGAUCAAGGAGGAGAAACUGAAACAUGACACUGCCUAGCAUUUAUUUUGGCACGGCAGUACCAGUACCAGAUCAAUGUGGAGCUAUAUACAGGUGAUCUGGACAUCUCGGUUUUCGCCAACUACAUCAAGGAGAUGAAGAGGGUGUACCCAACUGUGGAGGGCCGCAUCAAGUUCAGAAACUCAUCCGUGGCGGCUGGGGCCAACUGUCUGACUUUGUUACUGCUAGGCCUGCUGUGGGCCCUGUCCACAAGCCUAUGAGAGAUUCUUUCCAGAAGAUCACAAUAUGGCAGGUUUCUGUGGUGAUGUGUCACAUAUUUAAAUGUUUCUAAAACGGCUGCUGUUUACGAGAAAGAGUAUUAUACUAUUUCAAGAAAUAAUGUAUUUAUAUUUGCAUUACUACAGUAUAUGCAGGUACAUACAGGCAAGUGGCACAAAAACUGCCAAUCACUUUGUUUUGUCACUUUUAUAGAGUCAUGUAUAUUUGCAUUUUAUUGUUGCAAUUUAGUCGUAUUGAUUGAAUUGAUUGACAUGUUUGUGAAAGUUAAUGAAAGCUAAAUAUCUUAGGUUAAAACCUUUUAAUACUCUCAGACCCCUCAAAGAUUUAGUAGAUGAAGUCAUGAUGUCAAAUUUGUAUUUUGCAUGCAGGAUAUACAGCAGAGUGCCUUCAGAAAGUAUUCAUACCCCUUGACUUCUUCCACAUUUUGUUGCAUUCCAGCCUGAAUUUAAAAUGAAUUAAAUAGAUUAAGUCAAGGGGUAUGAAUACUUUCUGAAUGCACUGUACAGUAAAUCUGACUGUCCUGUGUGUUCGGGGGAGCUGUUGUGUUUCCACUGAAGUGAUGACAGUCCGAUGAAGGAAUCUAAAUAAUUGUCACCAUUUAGCUCUAAGGCAAGCCAAAUCAGAUUUGGAAAAACCCAUGGUAUUAAAACAUCACUAUUUCCAAGUCUUUCCGGGAAGGCAGGACUGCAAGCUGCCAAUGACAGCGGCAGAGUGCAGACUAAAAUGAGUCAUGGCUCUGAACAUGUGCAUGUUUACUUCAUGAUAAUUAUAGGCCUAUAAGGGCACAAGGCGAGACCUAAAUGCAGACACAGGAGGCAGAUGGUAGUGCUCCGAUAUUUAUUAACAAAGGGAGUAGGCAAAGGCAGGUCGGGGACAGGCGAGAGUUCAUAAACCGGGUCAGAGUCCAAACAGUACCAGGCGAUAGGCAGAUCUCAAGGUCAGGCCAGGCAGGGGUCAGAAACCAGAUCCGAGUCCAAAACAGUACAAGGGGAUAGGAAGGCUGUUGUUCAGAACAGGCAGAGUGGUCAGGCAGGCGGAUUCGGAGUCAGUACAAGCAAGGGUCGAAACCAGGAGGACUAGAAACAAACAGAGAAAAAUAAGAGCAAGGAAAACCGCUGGUUGAUUUGGCAAACAAGACGAACUGGCACAGAGAGACAGGAAACACAGGGAUAUAUACACCGGGGAUAAUAAGCGACACUUGGAAGGGGUGGAGACAAUAACAAGGACAGGUGAACCAGAUCAGGGUGUGACAAGGCCAGACAAGAAACGAUGUGGGGAGGUUUACAAAAGCAGCGACCAAGUUUGAUUAAUCAGUCUUCAGAUAUUUUUCUUUUAUUAUCACAAUCAUGUUCAGUCACAUCCCCUUUUUUCAGUAUUAUUGUUUUCUGAAUCAGUAAAAAUGAUCACAAGUGCAGCGGUAUGAGUGGUUUAAGUGCUGUAUAUACAGUUCCAACAACAUGCAGCAGAUGAAGCCGAGACUAAAGCCAGACAAUCCUCUUGCCAAGUCCAUGGAGCCACGUUAGUAGCAGUCUGCUGCUGGUUGAAAAAAAAACAUCAAAUCCACAUGUUCAAUGUAUGUAUAAACACUGAAGGCUGUAAAGCCCAAACAUCUCUAUAUGCUGAUGCAGUGAAAAUAAUUAAAAACGUUGAAUAAUGAAGUAAGCUUUAUGUGACAUAUUUUUCAGUGUGGACCCAUUACACAUUUUUGAUUGUAUUAACAAUGAUUACUGCUGGAAUGAUUAUAUGAUGAAUGUUCUGCUUUAUCAGCCGGUAGUUCCAUACAUCAGCAUUUCAAUAAAGUGAAUUAAACAUUUAAAA